rnacentral:rRNA from 1 species
AGCGAACGCUGGCGGCAGGCUUAACACAUGCAAGUCGAGCGGGCCUUUCGGGGUCAGCGGCGGACGGGUGAGUAACGCGUGGGAACGUGCCCUCUGGUUCGGAAUAACUCAGGGAAACUUGAGCUAAUACCGGAUACGCCCUUUUGGGGAAAGGCUUGCUGCCGGAGGAUCGGCCCGCGUCUGAUUAGCUAGUUGGUGAGGUAACGGCUCACCAAGGCGACGAUCAGUAGCUGGUCUGAGAGGAUGAUCAGCCACACUGGGACUGAGACACGGCCCAGACUCCUACGGGAGGCAGCAGUGGGGAAUAUUGGACAAUGGGCGCAGGCCUGAUCCAGCCAUGCCGCGUGAGUGAUGAAGGCCUUAGGGUUGUAAAGCUCUUUUAUCCGGGACGAUAAUGACGGUACCGGAGGAAUAAGCCCCGGCUAACUUCGUG